CGAGGAGGACUAUGUAGUUUGUUGAUAGACUAAGCCACCGUUUGGUUGGGAGUUAAGGGGUGAAAUAACCCUUAACCUCCAAUUUAUACCCAAAUACUAUUUUUUUGGGGUGGGGUUAGUAAACCCCACCCCAAACCAGGUUAGUGGGGUUUACUAACCCCACUCCCCCUUCCAACUUUAACCCCGCACGCAUCCCGAGCCCUCACCUUUUUAUUCUUUAUCAAUCAUUAACCCCACACCCCCUCUCAACUUUAACCCUGCACGCAUCCCGAGCUCUCACAUUUUUCUUCUUUAUCAAUCAUUAUCUUCUUAUCCCACCUACUCCAACCAAACACUUUUUUUCACUAUUCUAGACUAACUCCAACCUCCAACCAAACACAAAAAAAUUUUAACACCAUUUUAACCCUAAACUUAACCCUAUUCCUGGAAUAGCUACUUUUUCUUAACCCCGAACGAAACGGGGGCUAAUAGUCAUGAUUAAAAAAAACUAUUUAAAAUCUGUUUCAAUAUAAAGUUAUUAUAGAAUUUUUUUUUUUUUGAGAGAUAGGUAGAACGCUACCCGCUUCGUUUAUUUCAUUAAGAAAUAAACUUAGCUGGAAAUGUGAAUCAACUAGUAUUCGAACUUGGGACCUUUGGUACCAACCACCAAGCCCUUCGCCACUUGCUCUAGAGACGGUCGGUUAUUAUAGAAUAUUUUUGAUCAAAUAUAC
rnacentral:lncRNA from 1 species